GAUGAACGCUGGCGGCGUGCCUAAUACAUGCAAGUCGAGCGAACGGACGAGAAGCUUGCUUCUCUGAUGUUAGCGGCGGACGGGUGAGUAACACGUGGAUAACCUACCUAUAAGACUGGGAUAACUUCGGGAAACCGGAGCUAAUACCGGAUAAUAUUUUGAACCGCAUGGUUCAAAAGUGAAAGACGGUCUUGCUGUCACUUAUAGAUGGAUCCGCGCUGCAUUAGCUAGUUGGUAAGGUAACGGCUUACCAAGGCAACGAUGCAUAGCCGACCUGAGAGGGUGAUCGGCCACACUGGAACUGAGACAGGGUCCAGACUCCUACGGGAGGCAGCAGUAGGGAGUCUUCCGCAAUGGGCGAAAGCCUGACGGAGCAGCGUCGCGUGAGUGAGGAAGGUCUUAGGAUCGUAAAACUCUGUUAUUAGGGAAGAACAUAUGUGUAAGUAACUGUGCACAUCUUGACGGUACCUAAUCAGAAAGCCACGGCUAACUACGUG
rnacentral:rRNA from 1 species